CGCUGGCGGCGUGCUUAACACAUGCAAGUCGAACGGAAAGGCCCUGCUUUUGUGGGGUGCUCGAGUGGCGAACGGGUGAGUAACACGUGAGUAACCUGCCCUUGACUUUGGGAUAACUUCAGGAAACUGGGGCUAAUACCGGAUAGGAGCUCCUGCUGCAUGGUGGGGGUUGGAAAGUUUCGGCGGUUGGGGAUGGACUCGCGGCUUAUCAGCUUGUUGGUGGGGUAGUGGCUUACCAAGGCUUUGACGGGUAGCCGGCCUGAGAGGGUGACCGGCCACAUUGGGACUGAGAUACGGCCUAGACUCCUACGGGAGGCAGCAGUGGGGAAUAUUGCACAAUGGGCGGAAGCCUGGUGCAGCAACGCCGCGUGCGGGAUGACGGCCUUCGGGUUGUAAACCGCUUUCGCCUGUGACGAAGCGUGAGUGACGGUAAUGGGUAAAGAAGCACCGGCUAACUACGUGCCAGCAGCCGCGGUGAUACGUAGGGUGCGAGCGUUGUCCGGAUUUAUUGGGCGUAAAGGGCUCGUAGGUGGUUGAUCGCGUCGGAAGUGUAAUCUUGGGGCUUAACCCUGAGCGUGCUUUCGAUACGGGUUGACUUGAGGAAGGUAGGGGAGAAUGGAAUUCCUGGUGGAGCGGUGGAAUGCGCAGAUAUCAGGAGGAACACCAGUGGCGAAGGCGGUUCUCUGGGCCUUUCCUGACGCUGAGGAGCGAAAGCCGUGGGGAGCGAACAGGCUUAGAUACCCUGGUAGUCCACGCUGUAAACGGUGGGUACUAGGUGUGGGGUCCAUUCCACGGGUUCCGUGCCGUAGCUAACGCUUUAAGUACCCCGCCUGGGGAGUACGGCCGCAAGGCUAAAACUCAAAGGAAUUGACGGGGCCCCGCACAAGCGGCGGAGCAUGCGGAUUAAUUCGAUGCAACGCGUAGAACCUUACCUGGGUUUGACAUGGAUCGGGAGUGCUCAGAGAUGGGUGUGCCUCUUUUGGGGUCGGUUCACAGGUGGUGCAUGGCUGUCGUCAGCUCGUGUCGUGAGAUGUUGGGUUAAGUCCCGCAACGAGCGCAACCCUUGUUCACUGUUGCCAGCACGUUAUGGUGGGGACUCAGUGGAGACCGCCGGGGUCAACUCGGAGGAAGGUGGGGAUGACGUCAAGUCAUCAUGCCCCUUAUGUCCAGGGCUUCACGCAUGCUACAAUGGCUGGUACAGAGAGUGGCGAGCCUGUGAGGGUGAGCGAAUCUCGGAAAGCCGGUCUCAGUUCGGAUUGGGGUCUGCAACUCGACCUCAUGAAGUCGGAGUCGCUAGUAAUCGCAGAUCAGCAACGCUGCGGUGAAUACGUUCCCGGGGCUUGUACACACCGCCCGUCAAGUCAUGAAAGUUGGUAACACCCGAAGCCGGUGGCCUAACCGUUGUGGGGGAGCCGUCGAAGGUGGGACUGGUGAUUAGGACUA
rnacentral:rRNA from 1 species